rnacentral:piRNA from 1 species
UGUGAAAUGUGAAUGUUGGCCUU